UACUCCAUAACAGAACAAACUAAAUAAAAACGUUAAUGAUGUUUCAUUUUAAAACAAGAGUUUCUUUGUUUGCUCGAGAAAAUAAGAUUUAACGUAAGACACAAUAUUAUUGAAGCCAAAUGUCUUGAACUAUAAAAGUUUAAAAUGAUUAUGUUUGUACAUCCAAAAAAUUUGUAUCUAGGAAAUUUUACUUGUCAUGUUUAGUGCUAAGGAAACUGCACAAUAUCUAAUGGUUAUAGCAAAUUCUUGGAUUAAGGGUUAACACAAUUUUAUGAACAGAGAAGGCUUGGAUCACAGAGUGUGUUUAUGCAGCGGUAUAGAAUUGAUAUUUGAAGUUCCAAACAAGGUCAGUUCAAGCCUAAAAUUACUAAAGCAGUUAAGGCUCAAAACUGUAAAAAUUGCACGGACCCUAUUUGGUCGUCGCCAUUUAAUCUAUACCUAUUUUUUUAAAAACUUUUAACUUGUACCCACUUUUUAAAUAAUUUCAGCCCCUUUUUCCUCCUUGCUUUGCAACUCUCUCGAAUCAUAUACAUGAGAAUCUCAGCUAAGAACCUUAGGACGUUCUUCCUAUACAGUGAUACUAUACAAACGAACACUUUCUUCCUGGUCUCUCAAUUACUAACAAAGGAAUUGACAGAUUCAAAUAAAAAUUAAAGAAAUGUUAGAUUAAUGUAGGAUUUGUGUCUGUAUCAUUGCCCAAGGGGCUUCUUUAUCUUCAUAUAUAUUCAAGGAUACAUAUUAUCCAUAGAGAUCUGGAGGUGAAUAACAAUAUUCUUCUAGAAGGUAAUGAACCUCAAACAUCAUUUUGAAUUGUCGCAUGUUUUUGGUGGCAAAGAUUCUGAAGUUAAGACAAAUCGAGUUGUUAGAAGUUAGCAAUCAUGCAUGCAACCUCUCUGAGCACAAAUAGUUCUUCCUGCACAAAUACUUCAGCUCUAGAGCUGAAGUUUGCCAGUUACAAACAAAAAUUUCAGCUCAAGAGCUGAACUUCAGGCCCAGCUACUAAAAUGCUGAAGUUUUGCGAAAAAGCGGGUACGCUUGUAAUUUUUUUUGCAAAGCAGAUACACGUUAAAACGUGACACAAAAAGCAGGUAUAGAUGCAAAUGCCUCCUCAAAACUUGAUCGUCCAAGUGUAUCAAGUCAUUUUAUAUACUUGAACUAUUCAAACGUAUGAAAUUAUUUAUAUUUAAUUUUAUAGUUUAAAUUAAGAUCACGAGAUGAUAACAAUAAUAACAAACUCAAUAUUACCACAUGUGAGGUCUGGAUUGUGAGAUGAUAAAGAUUUGGUAAAAACAAGUAUGAAGCUAUACUUUUUUUUUAAUUAAUUCAAAAGAAAUUUGGACUAUUCAAAAUGUAUGAAAUUAUUAAACAUUUGACAUAGUGGUGAAAAGUAAAAUUAUUAGGUGAUAAAUUUUUUUUAAAAAUAUUAUGUAAAAUGGCAAAAUGACUUGAACAGGUUAAACAAGUUGAGAUAAAAACAUAUACGAAUAUUAUUAACCUGUGGCUCUAGUUUUCCUUUCUUGUUUUGUAAUACUAUCACAUCAAUCUUCCACUACUACAACUCAAGCUCUUAAGCCAGUAUGGAGACACCUCACUUAUUUAGAUCAUUGUUGUCGGGUGACAUUCACUCAUAUGGUAACCAGUAAUUACAAUAUAUGUAAGAGAUUUUG
rnacentral:lncRNA from 1 species